AUUGAACGCUGGCGGCAUGCCUUACACAUGCAAGUCGAACGGCAGCGGACCUUCGGGUGCCGGCGAGUGGCGAACGGGUGAGUAAUAUAUCGGAACGUACCUUUCAGUGGGGGAUAACGUAGCGAAAGUUACGCUAAUACCGCAUAUUCUGUGAGCAGGAAAGCAGGGGAUCGCAAGACCUUGCGCUGAUUGAGCGGCCGAUAUCAGAUUAGCUAGUUGGUGAGGUAAAGGCUCACCAAGGCGACGAUCUGUAGCGGGUCUGAGAGGAUGAUCCGCCACACUGGAACUGAGACACGGUCCAGACUCCUACGGGAGGCAGCAGUGGGGAAUUUUGGACAAUGGGCGCAAGCCUGAUCCAGCCAUGCCGCGUGAGUGAAGAAGGCCUGGUUGUAAAG
rnacentral:rRNA from 1 species